UAGCUCUAGUGUCCCUUAAAUCCUGCAUAAAUCUUUCACCUUUUAUUAAAGGUUUCUGUGGUGAGGAACAUCAAUGAUUUUGAUAUAUCUUUGUGAGCUUUCCUCUGGCAAAGCU